GUGGGGAAUAUUGGACAAUGGGCGCAAGCCUGAUCCAGCCAUGCCGCGUGAGUGAUGAAGGCCUUAGGGUUGUAAAGCUCUUUCAGUGGGGACGAUAAUGACGGUACCCACAGAAGAAGCCCCGGCUAACUUCGUGCCAGCAGCCGCGGUAAUACGAAGGGGGCUAGCGUUGUUCGGAUUUACUGGGCGUAAAGCGCACGUAGGCGGAUCGUUAAGUCGGGGGUGAAAUCCUGGAGCUCAACUCCAGAACUGCCUUCGAUACUGGAGAUCUUGAGUCCGGAAGAGGUGAGUGGAACUCCUAGUGUAGAGGUGGAAUUCGUAGAUAUUAGGAAGAACACCAGUGGCGAAGGCGGCUCACUGGUCCGGUACUGACGCUGAGGUGCGAAAGCGUGGGGAGCAAACAGGAUUAGAAACCCCGGUAGUCC
rnacentral:rRNA from 1 species